UACGAAGGGGGGCUAGCGUCGCUCGGAAUCACUGGGCGUAAAGGGUGUGUAGGUGGCGCGCUAAGUCGGGUGUGAAAUUUCGGAGCUUAACUCCGAAACUGCAUUCGAUACUGGCGUGCUUGAGGACUGGAGAGGAGACUGGAAUUUACGGUGUAGCAGUGAAAUGCGUAGAUAUCGUAAGGAAGACCAGUGGCGAAGGCGGGUCUCUGGACAGUUCCUGACACUGAGACACGAAGGCCAGGGGAGCAAACGGG
rnacentral:rRNA from 1 species